GACUAUCUAGUUCCUAUUUGCGAAGAGACACACCAACAAGCAGUUUGUUUUACAACGCGGCAUUGCCUCUGUGAUAAUUUGCGAGGAACUGAGAAGAUUGAUGAUAAGUCAAUAUGCAGACGCAGUGACGACUGCAAAUUAGAAUGCAAAACGGGUACGAGGAAGGUAUGCAUAAAUGGUGUCUGCAGAUGUGUAACAACCCCAAAACUUUGAAAGGAUUCUUACAUGAUUAAA